UACGGGGGGGCAAGCGUUGUUCGGAAUUACUGGGCGUAAAGGGCUCGUAGGCGGCCAACUAAGUCAGACGUGAAAUCCCUCGGCUUAACCGGGGACUGCGUCUGAUACUGGAUGGCUUGAAGAUUGGGAGAGGGAUGGCGGAAAUUCAGGUGGUAGCGGUGGAAAUGCGUAGAUAUCGGAAGGAACACCGGUGGCGAAGGCGGCAUC
rnacentral:rRNA from 1 species